CUCUGAGAUACAGCAGCAGCCUGUGGUCGCACUCCAAGAGGCUUCUGGGAAAUUGCGGACCACUAAAAACGUUGCCUAGGAAACGAGCAAGCCAAGCAAGCUCUGGUACGCCAGGCAUUCUGGGCAAUGUAGUCCAUCUUGACUCGGUAGCAUGAGAGCAACGCAAAGGCGAGAUUGUUCCGGGAGACGGAGCCUACGUCACGUGGUUUGGAUUGGGGCGGUGCUAUCGGGGGCGUGGCCAGACUCAGACCCGGAAAAUCAGACGGACGCGGUUGCCUGGCAACGCCGGAACUGAGUGAAGGAGCUCGUGGCCCGCGGAGUGGGUGAGUCGGGACCUGUAGGAAAGGCGUGAUCGGAGGGGUCCUGCGGGCAAAGAGGCUGGAGGCAUGUUCGCGACCGUCCCAGGCCCGGGCCUCGGCCCCCUGGACGGCGGCGGAAACUUAGUCAUGAGUGAGCCACUUCGGGAAAGCUGCAGUCAUUCUGCCGCCGAACUCAGCUAAAUUAUGUGAUUCGUCAUCAAGCCGAAACGUCUGUGAGUGAAACGCAGCUUUGCUACAUAGGCACCUGUGGUCAUCACAAAAUAUCCAUCGCACCCUGGCCCCCAGGAAAGCUGAUCUUGUUCAUGUAAUUUCGGUUCUCCACCUUAUAAGAAAGACAGGCUCUCUGUGACUGCCAUCUCGGACUUUGGCGAUUACUCCUUUGGGGUCCGCUAGCGUUAAUAAAAUUUCCUUUCUCCUCCUGA